rnacentral:rRNA from 1 species
ACUCAAAGGAAUUGACGGGGGCCAGCACAAGCGGUGGAACAUGUGGUUCAAUUCGAUGCUACGCGAAGAACCUUACCCAGGCUUGACAUGCUUGAAGUAGGAACCUGAAAGGGAGACGACUCGUAUCCAGUCGAGAACUUGCACAGGUGCUGCAUGGCUGUCGUCAGCUCGUGCCGUGAGGUGUUGGCUUAAGUGCCACAACGAGCGCAACCAUUGUUGAUAGUUGCCAUCGGGUCGCAAGAUGCCGGGCACUCUAUUGAGACUGCCAGCGAUGAGCUGGAGGAAGGUGGUGAUGACGUCAAGUCAGUACGGCCCUUAUGCCUGGGGCUACACACGUGUUACAAUGCGGUCGACAACGCGCUGCUAACCCGCGAGGGCAUGCUAAUCGCUCAAACGACCGCUCAGUUCAGAUCGCAGUCUGCAAUUCGACUGCGUGAAGCCGGAAUCGCUAGUAACGGCGGAUCAGCUACGCCGCCGUGAAUACGUUCCCUGGCCUUGCACACACCGCCCGU